rnacentral:rRNA from 1 species
CAGGAGCGACCGGUCACACACUCUGUGUGUGAACUUGCGUUGUCUCUGGCCAUCCUUGGGAAGAUCCUGUUUGGCAUUAAGUUGUCGGGCAGGGGAUACCCAUCGUUUACUGUGAAAAAAUUAGAGUGUUUAAAGCAGGCUUAUGCCGUUGAAUAUAUUAGCAUGGAAUAAAUAGAUAGGACUUCGGAACUAUUUUGUUGGUUUGCGUUACGAAGUAAUGAUUAAUAGGGACAGUUGGGGGUAUUCGUAUUUCGUUGUCAGAGGUGAAAUUCUUGGAUUUCCGAAAGACGAACUACUGCGAAAGCAUUUACCAAGGAUGUUUUCAUUAAUCAAGAACGAAAGUUAGGGGAUCGAAGAUGAUUAGAUACCAUCGUAGUCUUAACCAUAAACUAUGCCGACUCGGGAUUGGUGGUUGUUUUUUGACUCCAUCAGCACCGUAUGAGAAA